rnacentral:misc_RNA from 1 species
AGGAAGUAAAAGUCGUAACAAGGUGCGAGUAGGUGAACCUGCCCGCGGAUCAUUAACAGAUUUUUAUCUUUUUCCCACCCCUGUGCAAACUGACGUGUUUUGGUCGGCGUAGCCGGCCAAGGGUUUUACCCAAAAUUUUAACCAAAAUUGAUAAUUUGUCUGACAAAAUUUUAUAAUUAAAUAAAACUUUCAGCAACGGAUCUCUUGGUUCUCGCAUCGAUGAAGAACGCAGCAAGCCGCGAUAAGUAGUGUGAAUUGCAAGUUUUGUGAAUCAUCGAGUUUUUGAACGCAUAUUGCGCCCUUUGGUAUUCCAAAGGGCAUGCCUGUUUGAGCGUCAGUGCAUUCUCAACAUCCAUGUUGGUUUUGGACGCGCGCCGCCUUCCAGCGGUGCUAGUCUGAAAUGCAUUGGCAGAAGGCCGUGUGUUUUGGAACGGAUAGGUAUCUCACCUCGUUCACGGAUCAUGGUAUACUUCGGCUUGACAAACAUUUUCAA